rnacentral:misc_RNA from 1 species
AAGUCGUAACAAGGUUUCCGUAGCUGAACCUGCGGAAGGAUCAUUAACACGUAUCCAAACGUUCAAACCCCCCCCGUGAACCUUCAUCGUGCCCUUGUAACCCGCGUAGUUCGCAAUCUCUGAUAAAUCAUAGCCCGGAAAGUUGUAGUGAUUCAGAGACCUCUGGCUACGUGCGAACAUUGGAACAGUUACAAUCGAGCGGUAGUUCUUCUACGAUUCCUGUAGACCGUACACUCGGGCAGGAGCUUUGCCAAAGGGUCCCCAUGCCCCCUAAUAACCCCACAGUUUAAUGUGAAGCUCAAUGUAAUACAUUGGGUAAAAAAACCGAACAACUGUUAGCAAUGGAUAUCCUGGUUCUC